rnacentral:rRNA from 1 species
ACUGCUCAGUAACACGUGGACAACCUACCCUAAGGAGGGGGAUAACCCCGGGAAACUGGGGAUAAUACCCCAUAGACUAGAGAAGCUGGAAUGCUCUCAAGUCCAAAGGUCCGCCGCCUUAGGAUGGGUCUGCGGUCGAUUAGGUUGUUGUUGGGGUAACGGCCCAACAAGCCCGUGAUCGAUACGGGUUGUGAGAGCAAGAGCCCGGAGAUGGAUUCUGAGACACGAAUCCAGGCCCUACGGGGCGCAGCAGGCGCGAAAACUUUACAAUGCGGGAAACCGUGAUAAGGGAACCCCGAGUGCCCGUAAAUUCGGGCUGUCCAUCAGCGUAAAUAACUGGUGAAGAAAGGGCCGGGCAAGACCGGUGCCAGCCGCCGCGGUAAUACCGGCGGCUCGAGUGGUGGCCACUAUUAUUGGGCUUAAAGCGUCCGUAGCUUGGUUGUUAAGUCUCUUGGGAAAUCUACCGGCUCAACCGGUAGGCGUUCAGGAGAUACUGGCAAUCUAGGGACCGGGAGAGGUGAGAGGUACUCCAGGGGUAGGAGUGAAAUCCUGUAAUCCUUGGGGGACCACCUGUGGCGAAGGCGUCUCACUAGAACGGCUCCGACAGUGAGGGACGAAAGCUGGGGGAGCAAAUCGGAUUAGAUACCCGGGUAGUCCCAGCUGUAAACGAUGCGCGUUAGGUGUAUCGGUGACCACGAGUCACCGAGGUGCCGAAGGGAAACCGUGAAACGUGCCGCCUGGGAAGUACGGUCGCAAGGCUGAAACUUAAAGGAAUUGGCGGGGGAGCAC